rnacentral:ncRNA from 1 species
UUUGAUUCUAGCUAUUAAAUUUAAAUUUUUUAUAUUUAUACAUGCAAAAAUUUUUUCUCCUGUUAAUUUUUUUUAACUUAAUUUAAAAUUAAUAUAAAAUAUACGUCUGCAGUAAUUAAUUCUAGAUAAAUUAUAUCAGUAAGUUCUGGUUAAAAAAAGAAAGUUGGUAAAAUUCGUGCCAGCUACCGCGGUUAUACGAUAGACUUAAAUAAAUUUUUUUAGAAAAAUGAAAAUUAAAAUUUAUCGAUAUAUUACACUUAAAAAUUAGUUUAAUAUUAAUAAUAUUAUUAUUCCUUAUAUAUCAUAAUAAUUUAUUCAUGAAAGCUUAAGCAAAAACAAGGAUUAGAUACCCUUUUAUUUUAAGCCUUAAAUAUCUAGGGUACUACUAAUACAUAUUAAAAACCCAAAGAACUUGGCGGUACUUUAUCUAAUUAGGGGAAUCUGUUCAUUAAUUCGACAACCCACGUAAACCUUACCUUUAUUUGAAAUAUUCAAUUUGUAUACUGCCGUCAUCAGUUUAUCAUUUAAAUGAAAAUAAACAAAAAAAUUUUUUUUUUAUGUCAGGUCCUAGUGCAAUUAAUAUAAAGGAUGAAAUGGAUUACAAUCAAUAACACAGCAAUAGAUAAAUAAUGAAAUAAUCCUGAAAUUGGACUUAAAAGUAAUAUUAGAUAACAAACUAAUAUGAAUAAAGAUAUCUAAAGUGUGCACAUAUCGCCCGUCACUCUUUUUGAAAAAAAAGAAAAGUCGUAACAUAGUAGGCGUAAUGGAAAUUGUGCCU